CAUUCAUGGGCAAUGCAUUUGAAAAAGAAGACAUAAAUAUUCAGAGUCAUAUUAGAAUGCUGUUCAAUGCAAAGCUGAAUUCUAAAUCUCUUGCUUUAUUUCCUGAGGCCUGCUUCUAUUUCUCACACCUAAAAUCCUUUCCACCUUUUGUGAUUCCCCACAUUUUGCCACGUCAAGUUUGUAGAGACACCCUGAUCACAUCGCGUGGGUGAGUGGGGGAGGUCUGGAGAGAACAUAAAAAUCUUGGAAGCAUCCUGAGACGCCACAAACCCUGACAAUGCUGCCACCUAUGGACCAAAAGUGCCAACAUCAGCUGCGCAGAGCCGUUUGCAGGGACACUCCGCGAUGAAAGAAGCAGAUUGUACGAGCAAAUUCAGACUCCUGCACAAGCCUUAAUUCACCUGGUGAACUGAUGGAGCGGCUAC